GUAAAAUAUUUGGAAUAGUCCCUGUGCUGUACAAUAUAUCCUUAUAGCUUAUUUCUUGCACAGUAGUUUAAUCCCCUAGGUUAUGUCUCUUUUUCUUUUUUCUAAUACAUACCCCUAUCCUCAGAAGUGAGUAAAAACUGAAUAAAAGUAUUGAACUUAAAAAAUUAAUAUAACUGAAUGUAUAUGACUUUUGUUCCUUCUGUGGGAUAAAGUUGAACUGAGUGAAGUAGAUGAUACUUGAGACAGACGAGGACUUCAGUAAGAAGUGAUUUUUAGGAAAAAGACUGCAGCCAAACUUUAAAAAUAAAAUAUUAACCUCUGUUAUUGAAAACACUAUCCUCUCUGUAACAUAUUCCACAUAAACAGAUCAAGUGCCUGCCUUCCUGACCAUAAGCAUUUCCACGAUGCAAGAGAACGCAUGAUCCUUUCCUAGGUGUUUACAAACAGGAGGAGGCCCACUUACUUGUAAAAGCUUUUCAGGUUAAAGGCCCAGUGAUAUUUUCGUCAGCAACUUUGAGAACAACUGGGGACUGGAUGGUUACGUGAGUACUUCCUGGAGGGUUUUCUAAUCAUCAUGUCUGCAUAGAGGUGGGGGCACCAAUGGGGAUUCCUUCAAAGACAACCUGGGUCCUGUUUGCACCGUGAAAACUCAGGCCCUUGUCCUGACCUCGCAGCAAUGCUAUCCCUUCAUCAUCUGAUGGAAGAAAGCCGUCUCUGAGAUCAGAAAGAAACUGGCCUGGAGCGACAGGCUGUUCCUGCCAGACAGAAGAGCUUAGAUGCAGACCACACCCCACUGUAAGAAUGGUCCCACACUCUUCCCCGGCCCCAGUAACCACCCAGCUAGCAAUGAGAGAGAUUCCAGACGCCCCUUCACAGUCUCCUUUGCAAGUUAACCCUUUGCUUCUGCACUAAUUCAUCACCAAACUGGAGCGUCAACAGCCUCACAUGACACACAGGAGACAGCAGCUGUGACACAAUACCAUUCGGACAUGAAAGGGGAGAGUGUACUUUUCAAGGUGACAUACACAGAAAAGACUUGGAAAUUCAAGCUGAAAAGGCAAGAUAUGCUGCACUUACGUGAUUUUUCUAAUCAAAUAUCAGAUGAGAAGAGGCAUCUCUCAUGGAGCUCAGAUGAUAAGCACCACGUUUCUCCUGAAUGGUAUCAGCUACUUUCUACUUUACUUACAGAAUGCUACUAAUGUAUUAAUUGUACACAGAGGAGUACCACUAUGUAUGAUUUGACACCAAACAGCCUGGUGGGCUGCCGUCUAUGGGGUCGCACAGAGUCAGACACGACUGAAGCGACUUAGCAGCAGCAGCAACAGCCUUUCAGAGGUACAUGAGUGUAGUAUUUGGGGAUGGUUGUCAGUGAUGUACUCAUUUCAUAAAUUCUUUAUCAAUAUCCUGAGGGAUUCCAAAGGAAAUAUAUACCAACCUGUAAUAAUCACACUUGAAAAACAAAAAACUUGACCAAAAGGGAUAAUUAAUCAAAAAAUACUCUAAACCCACCUUUCCAAAUUAAGAACUUGUAUAUAGAAGAGCUUUAAAUUACAAUGUCAGCCAUGGCUGAGAUGGAGCUUUCAAUGGGGUUAUAUAAUUUUGAGAUAAUGAAAAUAGGCCAGCACUAAUGAUGGUGAAGUUUUCUCUUGCUCUGAGCCAAACCCUGUGGUUAUCUGCUCUCCUUUCUCAGAGGCACAUGCUCUAGGAAUUCAGUCUAAGGACACUCCAGUGAGCUUUGCACUAUACUCUGUGGAUGUCGAAGUUUACUGAUCCAGUGAGCCUGACCAGAACCAUCAUUUUGCUGUUAAGAAUUUUCUUUGCACUGCUCCAAUUCUUUUUAAUCUAACAAAAGAACAGCUUGUUUUAACAACUAAUUUUUCUUCUCAUGUGAUGAUGUGCUUAUUGUCAGGAAAAACAAUUUGCCUC
ensembl:lincRNA